GACGCGGACGAUACCUCCCGCACGUACAGAUGGACACGAAUAGGCUUCGGCUUAGCGUCUUAGCAGGCGAUUCCUCCACUGCUCUCGAAGCGAGUAGUGGUAUUUCGCGAAUUGUAAUUUCAGCACGAGCGGGGUCAAAUCCUUUGCAGACGACUUAGAUGUGCGAAAGGGUCCUGUAAGCAGUAGAGUAGCCUUGUUGUUACGAUCUGCUGAGGGUAAGCCCUCCUUCGCCUCGAUUUCCUCAUGAACUUGGCGGCCGCUGCGCCGCGAGAACGCGAGGUUUCGGUGUGUAGAGAGAUGGAGAGAGGGGACCUGAGAGAGGGUCCUGCCUGGAGAGACCGCCUCGCGCGGUCGAUUCGGCCAAGUCUGCACAAGUACCCCCGAAGAGACUCUGGGAGGGUCGACGGGUGCGGCAACUGGCCGAGUGCGCAGCCGGUACCCCCGAAAGGGGUACGAGCCGCGUGCCCGGAGCCCAAAGUACCCCCGAAAGCUUUCGUACGGUCGUGGCCUCUUCCGUCCCACGCCCAAGUCCGCGUGGACGUUCCUGGUACCCCCGAAGAAGGCGGAGCUGCAAGUACCCCCGAAGGGCGCAAAGCAAGUACCCCCGAAAGGAAAACCAAGUCGUAGGGUGAGGCUAUAGGGGCUUGCAUCUGACCUAUAGAAGCAUCCGCGGCAGUCUCAGAAGUGUAGGGCUUGUGCUUAUAGCGUCUAUAGGGAGGGAGUUACAGGGCGUCGAAGUUAGGCCGCCGCCUGCCCACGGCCAAGUCCGCGUAAGUACCCCCGAAGGGUCGAGCCCAAAGUACCCCCGAACCGCUGGCGCUGGCGGGAAAAACUGAACCCAAGCCUAGGGCCGGCAGGCAUAGGGGCUUAUAGCCUACUUAUAGAGCCUUUUACGGCGGUUUCAGUGGUGCAGGCCUGUAGCUAUAGCACGUACAGCGGGCGAGGAAUCCGGUUUGAAGUUCAAAACACCGGCGAUGGACGGGUGCAGGCGGGCCCUGGGGGUGUGUGUACUGUACUGCGGCUAUAGAGGGCGCCAGCAGGGCCGCAGCGCACCAGGCCCUGUAGCUACAGCGCUCAUAGCGGGCGAGUUAUAGGGCGUCGAAGUUGGGCGGCCGCCGCCCGCGGCCCAAGUCCGCGUAAGUACCCCGAAGGGUCGAGCCCAAAGUACCCCAAAGGAUCCGACCAAUCAGAGGCCGAGAAAAAUAAGUACCCCCGAACAGCCGCCCAACUUGCACCCCGACUCACGGCCGCCACGGGCCUCGCGCGGCUUAGCCACGCCUGCGGGCGCCUCUGGGGGCCUCGGGCAGUCGAUUGGGAUGCGUGCGGCCCUUCCCCGACGAAAAUUGGCCGUGAGUACAUUUUUUUGUUUUCCCAUACAAAUUCGAUUUGUUCGGGCUGAAAAUUCUGGGUGGAACGGCAAUCAGCGGAGUUGGGGCCAAAAAAGCGUCGGUGGGCCUAUGAGAAGGGAGCGGGUGCCAGUAAAACGGCGCACGGGCCCAAUCUCUGCCCCCUCGGGGCAAGCUGCCGGCAACUGCAGCUAAAAACGUUCCAUAUCUUCACGGAUUCAGAGUGGUGUCGCUUCUCUCAGCUUGAGGCCUAGCCUCGCAUGGAGAUUCCGGCAUAUCUGUAUCCUCCCCCCCACCGAAGCCGCCGCCCGCGGUGCGCCGAGCUGGGGGAUGCCCUUAGGCACUCGAAGGCCCUGUGCCUCUGCAGUGCCGACGGAUGGGUUCUGUGGACGGAUGGCCGAUGGCUAACCUUACACUAAGAACCGGGGGCGAAACGCCCGCGGAGGACGCUGAAUAGCAGACGCCGCGGGGCAGUUGCUCCUCUUGGGGCUCCCGAUCCACGCAACCCCCUCCGGGGGGCACAGCGCGGUGAAAGGCAGCUCUGGGGAACUUGGGGUGGGAAACUGGACGCCUCUGGGGCGCCGUAGGCCUAGCCGACGGACCGCCCCAGCAGGCUAGAUCAGUAGUGACUACUCUUCGGCAGCUGCUCGCAGCGCCGAUGGCCGCUCUGCGGUGUACGAUAGUACAUGAUUCC
rnacentral:rRNA from 1 species